AUUGUGCGACACACAAGGACAGACGAUUCGAUAGUGAAUUCAGGGUAUUUAACGGAGACAGAGAUGCACAUACAAAACUGUGCACAUUUGUUAGUGAACUGUUCCUUACGCUGAACUGAUAUUGUUAAAAGAAUCGCAAGAGAAAUAAAUCAACAUUCUUUCGAGGCGUGGGAAGAUUUACUUCUUUCUCGAGGAAGCCGGCCCUGAGAGCGAUCUGGUUCUCCUUCAUGCGACGUGCAUCCCGCGAUCGUUUCGCUGCCAUAUUAUUCUUCCUACGACGCGCCCAGUAUUUGUCAUCCUUCAGGUCAUCCGGAACGAACUGUAGCCGGUAGCGGAGCAUGGAAAAGAGCAGGAAAUUAGAACGAACGUAGAAAUUGACGUAUUUUAAAACUAUAAUGAGGAAUUGUAAAGAAAAACCAAAACCCACUCUGAUUUCUUAAUGGAUAUUGAAAAUCCUAUUAAAGAUCAUAGAGUGGUUGUUAAAUCUUACAAAUUGAAUUUCAAUAAAUUAUUUAUAUAGCUCUAAGAGAUAAAAAUAAAAGAAUUAGUUGUACAGUA